UAGCGAACAAGUACCGUGAGGGAAAGGUGAAAAGCACCCGAUGAGGGGAGUGAACAGUACCUGAAACCGAAUGCUUACAAGCAGUGGGAGCUCCAUAGGGGGUGACCGCGUACCUCUUGCAUAAUGGGUCAGUGACUUAAUUUAUCGAGCAAGCUUAAGCCGUUAGGUGUAGGCGCAGCGAAAGCGAGUCUGAAAUGGGCGACCGAGUUCGAUGAAUUAGACCCGAAACCCGGCGAUCUAGGCAUGACCAGGUUGAAGGUGCGGUAACACGCACUGGAGGACCGAACCGUUUAAUGUUGAAAAAUUAUCGGAUGAGUUGUGUUUAGGGGUGAAAGGCCAAUCAAGCCGGGAAAUAGCUGGUUCUCCGCGAAAUCUAUUGAGGUAGAGCGUCGGAUGAUUGCCGAUGGGGGUAGAGCACUGGAUGGGCUAGGGCGGCGCGAGCUGUACCAAACCUAACCAAACUCCGAAUACCAUCGAGUCUAGUCCGGCAGACAGACGGCGGGUGCUAAGGUCCGUCGUCAAAAGGGAAACAGCCC
rnacentral:rRNA from 1 species